GAUGAACGCUGGCGGCGUGCCUAAUACAUGCAAGUCGAGCGAACAGACGAGGAGCUUGCUCCUCUGACGUUAGCGGCGGACGGGUGAGUAACACGUGGAUAACCUACCUAUAAGACUGGGAUAACUUCGGGAAACCGGAGCUAAUACCGGAUAAUAUAUUGAACCGCAUGGUUCAAUAGUGAAAGACGGUUUUGCUGUCACUUAUAGAUGGAUCCGCGCCGCAUUAGCUAGUUGGUAAGGCAACGGCUUACCAAGGCGACGAUGCGUAGCCGACCUGAGAGGGUGAUCGGCCACACUGGAACUGAGACACGGUCCAGACUCCUACGGGAGGCAGCAGUAGGGAAUCUUCCGCAAUGGGCGAAAGCCUGACGGAGCAACGCCGCGUGAGUGAUGAAGGUCUUCGGAUCGUAAAACUCUGUUAUUAGGGAAGAACAAAUGUGUAAGUAACUAUGCACGUCUUGACGGUACCUAAUCAGAAAGCCACGGCUAACUACGUG
rnacentral:rRNA from 1 species